rnacentral:lncRNA from 1 species
CUUUUUACAAUCAGGCAAGAUAAUACUGAGCGGCGGCACUGAACCUGCAGGACAAAAUGAGCCUUUGCUUUAAAUAUCCGAGAGACAAAUGGAGAUCCUCAUAUGAGAAAGGAUUUGCAACUGGGCUGUGUUGGGAGCAGCCUUGGACAGGGUCAGGCUGUGUUUCCCAGGAGAAACCCUUUGCAGCAGGAUGAGGAGCUCAGGCUGAGGCUCUCAGCAGCCCUAAAG